GAGAAAGGCUUGAAGCACCGAACACUGCUAAUUUUCGUAACCUCAGUUUGACUCUGGGGCUCUCUCG
rnacentral:tRNA from 1 species